rfam:Felis catus isolate Cinnamon breed Abyssinian chromosome D2, whole genome shotgun sequence.
GCCUGGGUGGCUCAGUCGGUUGAGCGUCCGACUUCAGCUCAGGUCACGAUCUCUCGGUCCGUGAGUUCGAGCCCCAUGUCGGGCU